ensembl:snRNA U6 U6 spliceosomal RNA
GUGCUCACCUCAGCAGCACAUAUACUAAAAUUGGAACAAUACAGAGAAGAUUAGCAUAACUCCUGCACAAGGAUGACACACAGAUUCAUAAGUCUCCCAGGAGUUCC